UGUAUGUGUGUAAGUGAAUAGGAAGUAAGAAGGGUGUGUGUAUAGUUAUAAUGACUGGGAGGUGACACUCUAAAAUCCCUUAAUCUUAAUAAAGUGUUGUUAGAGCAUUUACCCUGUCCCCUUAUUCUGGACAUAUGGAAGGGCUUCCGGUUGUGCAUCAGUGAGGGUGGUAUGAUAAUGCUGAAUGUUUUUAAGAACUACGCAUAGAGAAGUAUUGAAUUUAAUGCUUCUCUAUGAGAGGUAUCAGAUUAGCGGAGGACACUCUAUAUCAAUG